rnacentral:rRNA from 1 species
CUUUUAACAACGGAUAUCUUGGUUCCCACAACGAUGAAGAGCGCAGCGAAAUGCGAUACGUAAUGUGAAUUGCAGGACUCAGUGAAUCAUCAAAUUCUUGAACGCAAAUGGCACUCUUGGGCCUUCUGGGUCCGGGAGUACAUCUGUUUGAGUGUCAG